GUAACCGUGAGGUUACACCUGAAGAAAGCGAGACUACAAAACUCGGUACCGACGAACAGGAACCGUAUACGGAGGCAUAUUUACUUGGGUAAGCAAGCACAUCAUUGUAACGCCCCAAGAUUACAAAAGGGUAAGUAUGUAGAUACGGCGGUUAUUGAGCGAAAGAAGAUGC
rfam:Zobellia galactanivorans strain DsiJT chromosome, complete genome.